GUCUCUGUGGCGCAGUUAGUUAGCGCGGUGAACUGUUAAUCAAAGGUUGGUGGUUCGAGCCCACUGGGGACG